rnacentral:rRNA from 1 species
AUGAUCAUAUCACGUUCAAACACCGGUUCCCGUAUGAUUACCGAAGUUAAGCAAUACCGAGCCUGGUCAGUACCUGUAUGGGUGACCGAUUCAGAAUACCAGGUGCU